AUUGAACGCUGGCGGCAGGCCUAACACAUGCAAGUCGAGCGGCUGAAGGGAGCUUGCUCCUGGAUUCAGCGGCGGACGGGUGAGUAAUGCCUAUGAAUCUGCCUGGUAGUGGGGGAUAACGUCCGGAAACGGGCGCUAAUACCGCAUACGUCCUGUGGGAGAAAGUGGGGGAUCUUCGGACCUCACGCUAUCAGAUGAGCCUAGGUCGGAUUAGCUAGUUGGUGGGGUAAAGGCCUACCAAGGCGACGAUCCGUAACUGGUCUGAGAGGAUGAUCAGUCACACUGGAACUGAGACACGGUCCAGACUCCUACGGGAGGCAGCAGUGGGGAAUAUUGGACAAUGGGCGAAAGCCUGAUCCAGCCAUGCCGCGUGUGUGAAGAAGGUCUUCGGAUUGUAAAGCACUUUAAGUUGGGAGGAAGGGCAGUAAGUUAAUACCUUGCUGUUUUGACGUUACCAACAGAAUAAGCACCGGCUAACUUCGUG
rnacentral:rRNA from 1 species